AACGUAGGACGCAAGCGUUAUCCGGAGUUACUGGGCGUAAAGCGCGAGCAGGCGGCUCGACAAGUUCGCUGUGAAAGCUCCCGGCUCAACCGGGCGAGGCCAGUGGAAACUAUCGAGCUGGAGGGCAGUAGAGGCAGGCGGAAUUCCGGGUGGAGUGGUGAAAUGCGUAGAGAUCCGGAGGAACACCAGAGGCGAAGGCGGCCUGCUGGGCUGCGCCUGACGCUGAGCCGCGAAAGCCAGGGGAGCGAACGGG
rnacentral:rRNA from 1 species